rnacentral:rRNA from 1 species
UACGAAGGAGGCUAGCGUUGCUCGGAAUCACUGGGCGUAAAGCGCACGUAGGCGGAUUGUUAAGUCAGGGGUGAAAUCCUGGAGCUCAACUCCAGAACUGCCUUUGAUACUGGCGAUCUCGAGUCCGGGAGAGGUGAGUGGAACUGCGAGUGUAGAGGUGAAAUUCGUAGAUAUUCGCAAGAACACCAGUGGCGAAGGCGGCUCACUGGCCCGGUACUGACGCUGAGGUGCGAAAGCGUGGGGAGCAAACAGG